rnacentral:rRNA from 1 species
GAAAUGCGAUACGUAAUGUGAAUUGCAGAAUUCAGUGAAUCAUCGAAUCUUUGAACGCACCUUGCGCCCCUUGGUAUUCCGAGGGGCACACCCGUUUGAGUGUCGUGAAAAUCUCAACCUUCUCGGUUUCUUCUGGACACCGAAGGAGGCUUGGACUUUGGAGGCCUUUGCUGGCGUCUCUCUCUCUUGAGAGAGCCAGCUCCUCUUAAAUGAAUUAGCGGGGUCCUCUUUGCUGGUCCUCGACAUGUGAUAAGAUGUUUCCAUGUCUUGGUUUCUGGCUCUGUUGCCUUUGGGACCCGCUUCUAACCGUCUCAACAAGACAACGUUUGAGCGCGUCUCCCUUCUCGGGAGACCCUCUCAACCUCACGAACCCUUGACCUCAAAUCGGGUGAGACUACCCGCUGAACUUAAGCAUAUCAAUAAGCGGAGGAAAAGAAACU